rnacentral:rRNA from 1 species
AACGAACGCUGGCGGCAUGCCUAACACAUGCAAGUCGAACGAGACCUUCGGGUUUAGUGGCGCACGGGUGCGUAACGCGUGGGAACCUGCCCUUAGGUUCGGAAUAACUCCUCGAAAGGGGUGUUAAUACCGGAUAAUGUCUUCGGACCAAAGAUUUAUCGCCUUUGGAUGGGCCCGCGUUGGAUUAGCUAGUUGGUAGGGUAAAAGCCUACCAAGGCGACGAUCCAUAGCUGGUCUGAGAGGAUGAUCAGCCACACUGGGACUGAGACACGGCCCAGACUCCUACGGGAGGCAGCAGUGGGGAAUAUUGGACAAUGGGCGAAAGCCUGAUCCAGCAAUGCCGCGUGAGUGAUGAAGGCCUUAGGGUUGUAAAGCUCUUUUACCCGGGAUGAUAAUGACAGUACCGGGAGAAUAAGCGCCGGCUAACUCCGUG